GUUUAGCCCCGAUAGAAGUGGAAAUCUUUUUAUGCCGGGGUUUGGCAUAAAAAAUUGAAACGGAUAGCGGGACUGUAG
rnacentral:sRNA from 1 species